rnacentral:rRNA from 1 species
UACAGAGGUCUCAAGCGUUGUUCGGAUUCAUUGGGCGUAAAGGGUGCGUAGGCGGCGCGGUAAGUCGGGUGUGAAAUCUCGGGGCUUAACUCCGAAACUGCAUUCGAUACUGCCGUGCUUGGGGACUGGAGAGGAGACUGGAAUUUACGGUGUAGCGGUGAAAUGCGUAGAUAUCGUAAGGAAGACCAGUGGCGAAGGCGGGUCUCUGGACAGUUCCUGACGCUGAGGCACGAAGGUCAGGGGAGCAAACGGG